AGAGUUUGAUCAUGGCUCAGAACGAACGCUGGCGGCAGGCUUAACACAUGCAAGUCGAACGGGUGCAGCAAUGCACCAGUGGCAGACGGGUGAGUAACACGUGGGAACCUUCCUAGAGGUACGGAACAACUCAGGGAAACUUGAGCUAAUACCGUAUACGCUCUUGCGAGGAAAGAUUUAUCGCCUUUAGACGGGCCCGCGUAGGAUUAGGUAGUUGGUGGGGUAACGGCCUACCAAGCCUACGAUCCUUAGCUGAUCUGAGAGGAUGAUCAGCCACACUGGGACUGAGACACGGCCCAGACUCCUACGGGAGGCAGCAGUGGGGAAUCUUGGACAAUGGGCGCAAGCCUGAUCCAGCCAUGCCGCGUGAGUGAAGAAGGCCUUCGGGUUGUAAAGCUCUUUUACCAGGGACGAUAAUGACGGUACCUGAGAAUAG
rnacentral:rRNA from 1 species